rnacentral:rRNA from 1 species
AAUCAACGCUGGCGGCGUGCCUCAGACAUGCAAGUCGAACGAUUAAAGCUCUCUUCGGAGAGUGCAUAGAGUGGCGCACGGGGGAGUAACACGUAAGUAAUCUACCCUCGAGUGGGGAAUAACGUCCGGAAACGGGCGCUAAUACCGCAUAAUGCAGCGGCAUCAUAAGAUGACAGUUGUUAAAGAUUUAUCGCUUGAGGAGGAGCUUGCGGCAGAUUAGCUUGUUGGUAAGGUAACGGCUUACCAAGGCUACGAUCUGUAACCGGUCUUAGAGGACGGUCGGUCACACUGACACUGAAUAACGGGUCAGACUCCUACGGGAGGCAGCAGUCGGGAAUUUUGGGCAAUGGGCGAAAGCCUGACCCAGCAACGCCGCGUGAAGGAUGAAGUAUUUCGGUAUGUAAACUUCGAAAGAAUAGGAAGAAUUAAUGACGGUACUAUUUAUAAGGUCCGGCUAACUACGUGCCAGCAGCCGCAGUAACAC